GUCCUGGGACAGGUGAGGGAGCGAGCGCCCUGGGACAGGUGAGGGAGCGAGCGCCCUGGGACAGGUGAGGGAGCGAGCACCCUGGGACAGGUGAGGGAGCGAGCGCCCUGGGAGCGAAAGAGUCCUGGGACAGGUGAGGGAGCGAGCGCCCUGGGAGCGAAAGAGUCCUGGGACAGGUGAGGGAGCAAGCGCCCUUGGAGCGAGAGCGUCCUGGGACAGGUGAGGGAGCGAGCGCCCUGGGAGUGAGAGCGUCCUGGGACAGGUGAGGGAGCGAGCGCCCUGGGAGUGAGAGCGUCCUGGGACAGGUGAGGGAGCAAGUGCCCUGGGAGUGAGAGCGUCCUGGGACAGGUGAGCGAGCAAGCACCCGGGGAGCGAGAGCGUCCUGGGACAGGUGAGGGAGCGAGCGCCCUGGUACAGGUGAGGGAGCGAGCGCCCUGGGACAGGUGAGGGAGCGAUCGCGCCCUGGGACAG